UGGCUGAAGAGCUGAAUGGCGUGGAGCGGCGAGGGGAGGGACUGGGCCGCGGCCGCCUCGGCGGCGGAGGGAGGAGCGCGGCUGCGGGCGGGCGGCGAGCGAGGCGCUCAAAGUCAGCCUCGCAGACAUUGCAGCAGAGCCCCGAACUCGGGAGGCGGCGGCGGCGGCGGAGGCGGAGGAGGAGGCGGCGGCGGCGGCCGAGGCGGAGGGACGACCCGGCCCCGCGCUCGCCCGCGCGCCCGCCCGUGGCCUCGCGUCGGCCGCUGCGCCCGGCAGCGCUGCCGAUCGGAGGGAAGAGCUCGCCGGGGCGCUGAGGGAGGACGGGGCAGCAGGGCGCCUUCGCGGAGUGAGCCGGCCGGAGCCCCGGCGCUCGGAGCCGCGGCGGCCUCUGAGAGUGCUUGGAUUGUGAGCGAUUUAAGAACUCUGUUCUCAGGACCCAUUACUUUAACACUGGGGAGAAACACAUCCAGAAGAUUGAAGGAGGAGCGGGAAUCUGAAGACUCCAAAUGACAUCAGAGUUACUUUUCAGCAGCCUUCUCAGUUUCCUUUCUCAGAAAGCAGAGACUCCAGCCUUGGAGAUGGACGUAUCUGUACCCGAAGGCAGCAGAAGAAGAACAGAGAGUCAAGCACAACCCAGAGUUCCAGUGCCAAAUGAGUCAGUAUGUGAAUUAUCCGCAGUGAAGACUCACCUCAAGACAAGCCCAAAGACCCCCCUGCAGGUAGGAAAGUCGAGUGCUGUGACGUGUGGCCAAGCCCCACACCCCAUUUCUGAGCUGCUGCAGCCACAGUCAAGGUCAGUGGGAGGCCAGUGGGCACUAAAUACCUUUGCUGCCUCUCCCAACAAUCCUAACUCAGCUGACAAACGAAGACCUUGCUCCCAGAGGCAGUGGAAGCCUGAUGGAUCCUCUACAGCUGCCUAUUGUCUCUGGCAAUAUGACCUCUUUCGGCAUGAUUGUUUGAAUUGAUGAUAACAUUUUUUUUUUAAGUUCUUACUGAACUUUUUACUCUUAAAAAAAAAGAGCAAAAAUGAACAAGGGCACACAAGAGGUCUCCCAAAAAGUCCUUGUUCUCUGUCUUCUUUCUCUAUACAUUUAGAGAAAAAAAAAUAAAUCUGCAUUUAUCUGUCUGAUAUUUUUCCUUUGGUUGGAGGCACCCCGCUGGCAAGCAGAAGUCAUCUUUGGUGAUUAAGUAGAAUAUCUACCCAAGUGCCAGGAGCUCCAGAAACCUUAAUGGCACUUUGGCAAGCAUGGCAGCAGUAAUUGUACAGCAGGUACAAUGGAUGGGGGAUGUUGGGAGUGCAAAGAGCUGUAAUCUUCUCCCUUCUUUCCUCCAGCAGCUCUGAAAAAAGUGGACUAGGAUCUAAAUUAGGUGUUCUUUUAGAUUACAACUUGUCACACCUAGUGCAAGUGACGCCUUCAGGCUGCCAGAUUCCAGCUGGAAAUUUGUUGGUGUUUAGAGAUGGCAGUUGGCUCAUUGAUUCAUUGAAUUGGUCAUCCAAAUAACAUGGAUCAUGCCCAUCAAAAAGAUCUGUCAGUCUUUGGACACAGGGAUCGUUGGGUGAUCCCUGAGAUAUAAAAGAGUAAGCUUGGGAUUAUCACUGCUAAAUGACUGUUCAUUACGGACUUCUAGGCAUGGGGCAUGCCCUAGAUGUUUUCCAACCUUUACCUUUGAUAGAGUAUCGAAAACUAGAUUUGAUGUUCCUUGUGAAGGAUUAAAGAAACUGGUUCAUCAUACUCCCAAGAGGAAAAUUAGGAGAUUCCCCUACAAAUUUAUAGUAGCCAUAUAGAUGGACCUUCUUCUCAUCUCCCUCCCAUGGCCUUGAGUUGAGGGAAAUGGAGUUGGGCUAAAGUUGUGCUAAUUUAUGUACCGUGUGCAUGCUAAGUCACUUUAGUUGUGUCUGACUCUUUCUGACCCCUGGACUGUAGCCCUCCAGGCUCCUCUGUCCAUGGGAUUCUCCCAGGCAAGAAUACUGGAGCAGGUUGCCAUGCCCUUCUCCAAGGGAUCUUCCUGACCCAGAGAUCGAACCUGUGUCUUUUAUACCUCCUGCAUUGGCAAGUGGGUUCUUUACCACUAGCACCACCUACAAAUGCAAGGCAUGAUAUGGAUAAAAGAUUAAUUGAACAUGGGCCAUCCUUGACCUAAAGGGAGAAAAACCUUUUCACAUGUAAUUGCAAUAUAAGGAUAAUUCUGGUAACAGUGGUAUGAGAAAAUGGACAGUCUAUGGUAAGUUGUUUAUAAGAUCCCAGAAAGAAAAGUUAUUUCCUGAAUAUAAAAAGAUAGAUAUAAACAUAAGUUAAAGAUAAUAAUAUAGAGUUUUUAAAAAUGCAGGCACUGCUUUGUAAAUGUUAGAAAACAAUUGAGACAAGAAUUUUAAAAAUUGAGCAAGCAAGAUGGAUUAAGCUAAUAUAGUAAAUAGUAAUUCCUUAGACUCUUGAAAAUAGUAGUGUUUGAAGUUUGCUUUUUUUUAAAUUAAAGAUUCCAGGAAACUAGAGGCUUUUGGGUAAUGUUUAAGUCAUUGGGAAUUGAUCUGACAUUUAAUGGCAGAACGUUGACUGUCUAAGGUCAAUGGGUCAGGGCACCUCCAUUACCUAACCUUAGCUGGUCUCUCUUUCCAUGACAUAUCAGAGUAUUGAUCUGGGUUAUUAUGUGAGGUUGGGUGUGGAGUUCUCUAUCUUUAUUUUAAACUUCUUAAAAAACAGAGUCUAACUAAUAUAUCCUGGCAUGAUUUGCAUUUUUAUGUGAUCCCACUGAAGGGGUGCUCUGUCUCUUAUUUGUCCUUCAACUUUGCCUGUACUCCCUGGACAAAACUUGAGUCUUCUUCUGACACUCUCUACCUAAUGUCCAUUCAGUGGGGGUCUUUCUUAACAUUCUGUAGGCUUUUAUUUUAUGUUUUGCCUUCAAACGUCACUGAUCCUCCAAACUUCAGUGAUGCUACAAGAAGUGUAGUCAGUUUUGAUGUUCACUGAGCUGUGAUACUGACUCGAAUAAAAUUUGCUAUCUAUAUUGAUAAACCUGCCUUUACAUUUCAGACCCAUUUUCAACAAAAGUGUCCUAGCUUAACUGUGAUAUAUAUUCGACCCUUACUUAUAUACUUUCCGUUUGGACUCUGUUUGAAGAUUGCUUUUCUUCAGUCUAUCUGUUAGUCAUAUUUUAUUUGAAUGUGGAAAUGCUGGGCACUGGCUUCAUAGGUUCAAACUCAUUCUUAGAUUUGAACAAUGAAGGAAUGAUAUUUUUUAUAUUGAAGUAUAGUUGAUUUACAAUGUUUUGGUAUACAGCAAACUGAUUCAUUUAUGUGUACAUAUAUAUAUGUGUGUGUGU